rnacentral:rRNA from 1 species
UACGUAGGGUGCAAGCGUUUGUCCGGAAUUAUUGGGCGUAAAGGGCUCGUAGGCGGUCCAUCGCGUCGGGAGUGAAAAGCUGGGGCUUAACCCCAGUCCUGCUUCCGAUACGGGUGGACUAGAGGUAGGUAGGGGAGAACGGAAUUCCUGGUGUAGCGGUGAAAUGCGCAGAUAUCAGGAGGAACACCGGUGGCGAAGGCGGUUCUCUGGGCCUUACCUGACGCUGAGGAGCGAAAGCAUGGGGAGCAAACAGG